CAAUGACUAUGGGUAUGUGAGGGCUAUUGAUUGUGAUGCUCCAGAGAUUAUAAUCAAAUACUUGGAUAAAGAUGCAUAUGCGUGCUUUCCAAUAGGUAUAGUUAGACCUAUUGAAAAGAUGUGGUCUACUAGUGAAUUAUCUCUCGGUAAGUGAAACUUUCAAAUGAGUUGUCAUUAAUCUUUAAAUCAAAACUAAUUGAGAAUCAAGCUCUAAUACCACUUGUUGCCCAGUUAGAUAACCCAAGAGGGGGGGGGG
rnacentral:lncRNA from 1 species